GCCGGCAGCUAGCUCUCUGCAACUCACAUAGACACCCACUGAAGCUUAACAGGGCUGCACCCAGUCAGUACCUGGAUGGGAGACCACAUGGAAAAGCUAGGUUGCAGCCAGAA
rnacentral:rRNA from 1 species